UAGGGAAUAUUGGACAAUGGGCGAAAGCCUGAUCCAGCCAUGCCGCGUGAGUGAUGAAGGCCUUCGGGUCGUAAAACUCUUUUCUGAGGGAAGAACCGCCCGGGUAGGAAAUGCCCCGGGUCUGACGGUACCUCAGGAAUAAGCAACGGCUAACUCCGUGCCAGCAGCCGCGGUAAUACGGAGGUUGCAAGCGUUGUUCGGAAUGACUGGGCGUAAAGGGAGCGCAGGCGGUGCGGUAAGUCUAAAGUGGAAGCCCGGGGCUUAACCUCGGAAGUGCUUUGGAUACUGCCGUACUCGAGUUCGUGAGAGGAGAGCGGAAUUCCAGGUGUAGCGGUGAAAUGCGUAGAUAUCUGGAGGAACACCGGUGGCGAAAGCGGCUCUCUGGCACGAUACUGAUGCUGAGGCUCGAAAGCGUGGGGAGCGAACA
rnacentral:rRNA from 1 species